GUAGGUCCCUGCCUGGGAUCCGAACCAGUGAACCCUGGGCCACCAAAGCAGAGCAUGCAAACUUAACUGCUGCACCACGGGGCCAGCUCCUUCUUGCUGUUCCCUCAUCCAGAUGACAGAAAUCCUCAGGCUCGCCAGCCUCCCUCCCUGGACCAUGAACAGGCUCUGACAACUCUCAAGCACAGUUGUAAUUCCAAGUCAUGUUGUGAUGAAAAGAAAAUGGGGCUGAUCUUGUUAAGUUUCCCAAGGAAAUCUGCAUAGUUUUCUGACCCCUUUCCCAGAGACCAGAGAGGAAAUUGAGAAUGAAGCCCCAGCGGAGCCAGCACCCUGAAAGAAGUGUGUGCAAGCCAUGGAUUUCGAAAUAGAGAUCCUGUCCUCCCGGCUGUGUGG
rnacentral:lncRNA from 1 species